GUGGUAUGAUUGCCAAUGAGACAACUGUCCACAAGAGACCAAAAUGACACAAACAUUAACAACUAUAGGUCACCGCACGGCCUUCAACAAUGAUCAAAGCCAAUACCACAUAGUCAGUUAUAAAAGUGUACACAAGUGUAUGGGCGCUAACCAACUCCAUAGUACAUACACAAAACAGGUUGGUGAAAGUGUAUAGGUAAGAAACAACCCCAUAGUGUAUACACAAAAAAGGGUGAUACAAGUGUAUAGGCGAUAACCAACUACAUAGUGCAUACAAAAAACAGGGUGGUGAAAGUGUAUAGGUAAGAAACGACUCCAUAGUGUAUACACAAAACAGGGUGAUGCAACUGUAUGGGCGAUAACCAAAUCCAUAGUGCAUACACAAAACAGGGCGGUGAAAGUGUAUAGGUAAGAAACAACUCCAUAGUGUAUACACAAAACAGGGUGAUUCAAGUGUAUAGGCGAUAACCAACUCAUGUAGUGCAUACACUAUGGAGUUGUUUCUUACCUAUACACUUUCACCGCCCUGUUUUGUGUAUGCACUAUGGAGUUGGUUAGCGCCCAUACAGUUGCAUCCCCCUGUUUUGUGUAUACACUAUGGAGUCGUUUCUUACCUAUACUCUUUCACCACCCUGUUUUGUGUAUGCACUAUGUAGUUGGUUUUCGCCUAUACACUUGUAUCACCCUGUUUUGUGUAUACACUAUGGGGUUGUUUCUUACCUAUACACUUUCACCACCCUGUUUUGUGUAUGUACAAUGGAGUUGGUUAGCGCCCAUACACUUGUAUCACCCUGUUUUGUGUAUACACUAUGGAGUUGUUUCUUACCUAUACACUUUCAUCACCCUGUUUUGUGUAUGCACUAUGGAGUUGGUUAUCGCCUAUACACUUGCAUCACCCUGUUUUGUGUAUGCACUAUGGAAUUGGUUAUCGCCUAUACACUUGUAUCACCCUGUUUUGUGUAUGCACUAUGGAAUUGGUUAUCGCCUAUACACUUGUAGUACCCUGUUUUGUGUAUGCACUUUGUAGUUGGUUAUCGCCUAUAUACUUGUAUCACCCUGUUUUGUGUAUACACUAUGGGGUUGUUUCUUACCUAUACACUUUCACCACCCUGUUUUGUGUAUGUACUAUGGAGUUGGUUAGCGCCCAUACACUUGUAUCACCCUGUUUUGUGUAUACACUAUGGAGUUGUUUCUUACCUAUACAAUUUCAUCACCCUGUUUUGUGUAUGCACUAUGGAGUUGGCUAUGGAGUUGGUUAUCGCCUAUACACUUGUAGCACCCUGUUUUGUGUAUACACUAUGGAGUUGGUUAUCGCCUAUACACUUGCAUCACCCUGUUUUGUGUAUGUACUAUGGAGUUGGUUAGCGCCCAUACACUUGUAUCACCCUGUUUUGUGUAUACACUAUGGAGUUGUUUCUUACCUAUACAAUUUCAUCACCCUGUUUUGUGUAUGCACUAUGGAGUUGGCUAUGGAGUUGGUUAUCGCCUAUACACUUGUAGCACCCUGUUUUGUGUAUACACUAUGGAGUUGGUUAUCGCCUAUACACUUGCAUCACCCUGUUUUGUGUAUGCACUAUGGAGUUGGUUAUUGCCUAUACACUUGUAGCACCCUGUUUUGUGUAUGCACUAUGGAGUUGGUUAUCGCCUAUACACUUGCAUCACCCUGUUUUGUGUAUGCACUAUGGAGUUGGUUAUCGCCUAUACACUUGAAUCACCCUGUUUUGUGUAUGCACUAUGGAGUUGGUUAUCGCCUAUACACUUGCAUCACCCUUUUGUGUAUGCACUAUGGAGUUGGUUAUCGCCUAUACACUUGCAUCACCCUGUUUUGUGUAUGCACUAUGGAGUUGGUUAUCGCCUGUACACUUGUAGCACCCUGUUUUGUGUAUGCACUAUGGAGUUGGUUAUCGCCUAUACACUUGUAUAGUUCUUGUUGUUCAGUCUUUAUGUAUAGUUUUUCAGUAAGAUUAUUGGUUGACAAACUAUUAUAUGUAUUUUUUUUUUGGUUCUCAGGCAUCAAUUAUUUAAGAUAAAUUUAAUUCGUUGUCACAUACUUUUUCGGUCUUUAAAAGAAGAUUUUUGUCUGCUAUCUAUCAUAUUUUGUAAACACCUAUAUACAGUUUUCAAGAUCUGAAAAGUUGUUGGAACAAGAUAAAGAACCUAGGAAAUUGAUGUUGACUGCAGCUCGACACUGCUUGCGUAUUCCACCUGUAUAGAAAUACUAUACCCAAAUGAAACAUUUAUAAUCGGAUGGAGAGUUUUCUCAUAUCUUCUUAUUUUCACAUACUAGUACAUCGAUGUUCCUUUUUUUAUCAGAGAUCCAUCCAGUUCUAAAGUAUUGAUAUAAUAAAAAAAUGCAAAAGAAGAAUCAAAUGAAAAUCGAUCAAAUAUAGUAAUUCGAUAACUCAAACAUAUACGGAGUCUUUUUAAAACAUGUUACCUGAGCUGUAUUUGGCAAAACAUUUAGGAAUUUUGGUUCUCAAUGCUCUUCAACUUCGUACUUUAUUUGGCCUUUUUAACGUUUUUGGAUUCGAGCGUCACUGAUGAGUCUUUUGUAGACGAAAUGCGCGUCUGGCGUAUAUUAUAAAUUUAGUCCUGGUAUCUAUGAUGAGUUUAUUUCUACCAGCCCCAAAAGAUAAUGACCGUCAUGCUUAGGGGCCGCCGAUUUGAGGUGUAUGAAUUCAUAUUCAGUUCCGGUCUGCGGGUUGAGUGGCCUCAAACUGGUGAACAUAACUUUAUAAAGGAAUUUAAAAAUGAUGUAACAUAUACAAGUUAAUAAAUAAUAAACAAGUAUUCCAGGAAAUACACAAAUAAUAAACAAUGUAGUUCAAUGACUGUGAAUGGGCAACUGACGUAAAUGUGUGGUUUUAUAUAUAAAAAAAUAUGUCUGUGUACACUUGGGAGAAAAAAUCAACAGAUUAAUUCGUGAUAUUUUAUAACUGUGAUUGAAUAGGAACUUCCGGAGAUUAAUAAACAUAUUUGAUUGCAAUCGGCAAUACUGGAUUUUGGCUUUUAAUUAUUCAGGUGCAUAUUUUUAUCUUUAUUGUCUGUGACCGUCGAGGGGUGUUGUAAAUAUAUAAGACUAGGGGAUCGGACAAAUUGUACACUCUAGAUCAAUCAAUGAUACUAUUAAGUUCUUGUAAUUUGUUAUCUGAAUGGGACGAUAUUUACAUGCUGGUGAACCUUUAGUUGCUUUAAUAAGAGUCAAGCAAGAAACAUUGUGCAGCAAAAUGUGACUGUUGACAACUUGUCUUGAACAUUCAUCAACUAUUUGCCACUGGAACUUAUGCAAAUUACAACUUGCUUACUAGAAUUUGACAAUACUCCGGUCAAAACUUUCUGUUCUAGAAUAAAUUUAAGCUGUUUAUCGACUGACUACUACACUCUGUGUAAAGGUGUUACUUUUUCACAAAACAAGGGUAUUAAAAAAUAAAAGGGGUUUAAAACAGAAAGUAUGAACGUAUUUGUGGAAUAACUGAGCUCUUGUAACUUUUAAGAUCAAAAGCUACAACUAUGGUGGGGAUGAAUUAUUACGAAGACACGUGUGGUUAGGUCACGAGGAAUUGAAUCCAAUAAACGUAUUAAAAAAUGUCUUACGCUUUAUUAUUUUUUUAAGAACUAGAAAAAUAACUCUUCGUAGAUGACGUUGAUGUAUAAAUGAUCAUAAAUACGCAGUCAUGUCUGAUCAGGGUUUCGGGACUCAAUGGAAGGUGUCGUUGUUCUUGUCCUUUCUGAUUUCAGAGGCAUGUCUGGUCAGAUUACAUAGAAUUGAAUCCAGCUUCACGGUGAACGUGUUAAAAAGUGUCGUGCACUAUCUUAAAUGUUUUACGAUAAAGAAAGAUAACUCUUCGUAGGUGAUGUUAAUUAAAUACGCACUCAUAUUUGAUCAGGGAAGAGUGACGUGCUGUUCUAACUUUAUAUGUUACACGAACACGAACGACAACACUUCGUAGGGAUGCUUCAUACAAAUAUAUGGCUUGUUUCAGUACAGGGACAUUAAAUCCAAUGUACGUGUUAGGAGAGUGCAAUGCUCGAUUUAUUAACGUUAAAGAACUCAAUUAUCAACUUUUUGUUUUGCUCCAUAAUUAAAUACACAUAAAUCUGUUUAUAGAUUCAAGAUUCAAUAUUUUAUUAAAGUCUCACAACAUACAAUAACAUAUAUUUACACAAUAAAAUAUUCAUACAGGUACAUAAAACAUACAUGUAUAACACCAAACUUUAAAUUCACAUUGUAUGUGCCAAUCUUAAAAGAUUUAUAUAUGGACAUAUGUAUACGGGAAUACUAGUCCUAAUGCACGUGCCAACAGAAUGCAUGCUUUCUUAAAGUUAUUAGAAACCUCUAAUUAAAAAAAAAUAAUGCAUAUGUUUUUUUAUAACUCAAUGGAUAGUUUUCAUUGUAACACUUAUGUACAUAAACUUUUUUCUGAAGAAAAUUCUUUUAUUUAUUCAUAUUUAGAAGAAGUUUACUUUAUUUUAAUUGCUUCCUUCCAGGAAGCAAUUUCCCCGACAUAUUUUCCGUAUGCAAAGUGACCUCAGUGUGACCCAUCUCGUAAAAAUCCGGUGAUCGCAAUACGCAUGGAUGUCCUUAAAAAAAACUAUUAUCUGAAUUUACAUGUUAAACACGUGCUCAAUUUCCAUGCUUUUUUGUUUUUUUUGUUGAUUGUUGACAAACAGGUGACAAUCGUUAAACUUCGGCUUCAAAACACGAACUUUAUUUACCUGCCAUAUUUUCACAACAACACUGACCGAUUGAAAAAAAAAUUGACGAUUAUACGAAAUUUAUGCGAAAAAAUGAAAAAUUCUUGAACAGAAGACUAAGUUUAUAAUGUUUGUAUGCAUUGGUUCAAGAAUUGGAAGAACAUUAUUUUUCACCGGUCACUCGUUUCUUAUGACUUUAACGGUAAAUAUCCUGUUUUGAACCGACUCGUGAGUGAUAACUCUUCCCUGAAAAGCACUACUACGCAUCAAUUCAUAUAUAUCAUGUACGGACAUACGUGUUUGGAUUACUGUCAUACUGUCGUCUUAAUGUUAAAGGACCCGAGUAAGCACUCAUCCCUGGGGUGCAUAAAUAAUUAUGGAUUCAUGUAUAUGAAGACAUUUAUACAGUCCUACAUCUAAGCGCAAUAAAUCACAUAAAAAUGAUGAAAAUCAGCUUACCAGCUACACCACUUAGAAAACACAAAUGUAUAUGUUAUAAAUGGAAUCUUAGUUUAAAAGUACGCACAUUGAGCGUUCCAUUCGUUCUUACACUAAAGAAUCCAAGUAACAACUUUUCGCUUCAAAUGGUGUAUACAUACGCCUUUAUGUUUAUAAGGAUAUAUAAAUGCAGACAUUAGUUUUAUCCGCAAAGGAGAGUGCUCUGCUCUCUUAACGUUAAAAAUCCGAGUGAGAACUCCUUGUUUGGGUGGGUGGUUUUUUUAAUAAAUUAUAUAACAGUUGUUAUCAAGCUGUUACUGCACAUCAGUAUGGUGUUUUUAAGUGUAAAAUGUUUUAUUCAUUCUCGUAUUCUUCUACAGAAGUAUGAUGUAGUGUGUUGUUAGUGUAACAUUCUAAUGUUUGUCUCAUUGGAAGUCAGACUUCUGCAUUACAUCGAUCAGUUUAGUCGACAUUUCUUCCCAUUUUUGUUUAAAACUGUUUUGUUUAUUCUUAGUUAAAAUGGUUCCUUUAACCGAUGCUUGCCCUUAAUCAUAAGAGUAUGCAUAGCUGCAUGUCUAUAAAACAGAUAUAUAAAAUUGAUGAUUGAAUCUACAAGUCAUAGAAAAUGAACCUUCGAUACAAAUCCUUGCAUUUUCAUCAUAACUGUUAUUCCAUAUUCCAUAUGUUUUCCAGAAAUUAAUAACAUUCCAGUCCCCAUUCAACCAGAGGUGGAUCCAGAAUCAUCACGCAAAGUUUGCAAUCAGGAGGGGGCAUGGACAUAUGCGACGGACAUGGCCAAAAGACAUUUCAGGAUUCACAUGUUGAUUGACGGCGUGCACAAAGCUGAGUACACAAACGUAACGUCUUCAAAUUACUAAAAAUCAUUAACGACGUCGUUAAUUUUUUCCGCAGAAAACUAACGUGUAACAAAAACACUGGACACUUAUAAUGCUAAGUUCAUACGUAAUUCAAAAUCGAUUCGCAUUAACUAAUUCGAAUUAGUUUAAUUCGCAUUCGAAACAUUUUACGUCCUAAUUUCUAAUGCGAAUUGGAUAAUUCGAAUUGGCUUUGCGAAUUCGAUUCGCAUUCGAUUCGAAUUCAAUUCGAAUUAAAUGUACGUGUGAACGCGGCAUUAGUUUAUCACAUAACUUUUAAAGGCAUAUAUGGAAGCGUAUUAGCGCCACACAUUUUUUUUUUAUUUUUCUUCUUAUGUUUGCGUUAUAACGCAAACCUUUGCGUUACAACGCAAACCUUUGCGAUAUAACGCAAACCUUUGCGUUGUAAACCUUUGCGUUAUAACGCAAACCUUUGCGUUACAACGCAAACCUUUGCGAUAUAACGCAAACCUUUGCGUUGUAACGCAAACCUUUGCGCGCAACCUUUGCGUUAUAACGCAACCUUUGCGUUAUAACGCAAACCUUUGUGCGUUAUAACGCAAACCUUUGCGUUAUAACGCAACCUUUGCGUAUAACGCAAACCUUUGCGCUUAUAACGCAAACCUUUGCGUUAUACGCAAACCUUUGCGUUACAACGCAAACCUUUGCGAUAUAACGCAAACCGUUCUGCUAUAACGCAAACCUUUGCGUUUUUGCGAUAUAACGCAAACCUGCGUUAUAACGCAAAACCUUUGCGUUAUUAACGCAAACCUUUGCGUUAUAACGCAAACAUCUUUAUUUCAAUUUUUCCCUAAGUUUUGUAUAUAUGUCCGUCUGUCAUUCAUUUCGGAUGUGAUUUACUAGUAGAUAAAAAAAGAAACAUACAUACAAGGCCAAAUCAUUGUAAUAAUAUGCAUAGGAAUAAUGGAAUAUUGAAGUGCAAUUAUACAUAAAUUAAGACUGAUUUGUGCAUCAGAAAAGUAGUAAAUUUAACAAGAAAUAAUAUAGUAUAUAGUUCAUAUUAAAAUUGAAAGAUCAAAAAUAAUGUCAUACAAUUGUGAAACCUCCAAGUCAAAUAGACAAAAUGAUCUUUCUGCUUUAAAAUGAAUUAUUAAUAAGGAAACAUUUUUUUUAAAUCUCAGAAUAUGAUCAAGAUCUUUGAUAGAAAGUCAUUGAAUUUUCAUUUCAAUAUAAUGAAGUAUUUUUAAGAUGCUUGGGUAGCAAUUUGAAUAGAGAGAACAUAAUUUUAUUAAUAAAACAUCUUCAUUCUAUAUAUUUAUUGCCAAAGGGUAGCUUGUUUGAAUGUAACAUACUUUACACAGUUCUCAAACGAGAGCUUACUUUGGAAGUAUAUUUAUAUUCGUUAUAGCUAUAUUAGCAGGGUUGAUUUUUUCUUAGGUAUACCUCAAUUUAUUCAAUUUCUUUGUAAUAUACUAUACUAGUAGUAACUUGGAUAUCGUUUUGGGGACCUUUAUAGUUUGUUGUUUAGUGUGAGCCAAUGCUCCGUGUUGAAGACCGUAAUUCGGCCUAUGAUGGUUUACUUUUACGAAUAGUGACUUAGAUGGAAAGUUUUCUUAUUGGCACUCAUACCACAUCUUCUUAUAUUAUUCUGCUCAUUAUUAGUCAUUGAUAUGAUCUAAUUAUUCAAGCAGUUUACUUUGCAAUUACUACAAAGGUGAUAAAUUUAUUAUAUCCACAGCCUCCUCCAUUAAUAACUACUGUUUCCUUUGAAUCUUAAAUAAGAAAUAAGAUAAAACAAAUGUUUGCGUUAUAACGCAAAGGUUUGCGUUAUAACGCAAAGGUUUGCGUUAUAACGCAAACAUAGGAAGAAAAGUAAAAAAAAAGAAUGUGUGGCGCUAAUACGCUUCCGUAGGCAUAAACGUUGAAACUAUAUAUAUGUCUUUUCUUUUAACAAAAAGUGCAGCAAAUGCACAUUCUGGAAAUAUAAAUAAGUAUAUGCUAAGAGCAGUGUAAUGGAAAUAAUAAAAGACUAUGUCGUGGACCCUUUUCAGAAAAUAGCGUUAAAACGUCAUUUCUUUUAAUUUAAUAUAAUCACUGCAUGGACAUUAACAAUAUUCACGUGUUUAGCCUGGAAUAUCGAAUCAUUCAUAUUAUGCAUAUUUUUUCAAACCUCUUGUUAUACACAUUUGGAAUAUCAAGUUAUUUUGAAAUAAAAAAAAAUUGCAAUUUCAUAUUUCUCUUGCCGAUUCUUUCAUUUUUUUAAUAUUAAUCCUUCCAAAUUAAUUUUUCCUACACAUAUUGAACUAUAUUCCAAACUCAUCCACAAUGGCUGUUUUUGAAACUUUUUGCGUUGAAUUUCGUAUGACGUCUUAGUUCGAAGCCGAAAAUAUCUUUUAUUCGAAAAUGCGGGAACAUAGGUUGAAUUUGAAUUAAUCUUAGGUCAAAAACUCUAUUUUAUGCUUAUUUAAUGUUAAAUGUUUCACUUGUUUUUGACGUUUUCUAAAUGUUCGUAUCACACUUUAUAGAUUUAACUUUGAUGACCUUACUAGUAAUGUGGAUUUAAUGGUUAACAGUCAUCAUUUUAUCAUAUAAAAAACUUCCGAUUUCAAAAAUAUUGCAAACACGGUUGUAUAAAACUACUUUGAAAAGCGCAUUUUACAGUUGUCGCCAACUUUGUGCACGCCGUCUUUACAUUUUUGUUUGUCCCCCCCUCCCCACUCUCUCUCUCUCUCUCUCUCUCUCUCUCUCUCUCUCUCUCUCUCUCUCUCUCUCUCUCUCUCUCUCUCUCUCUCUCUCUCUGCGUGAGGGUUCCAACCAAGGAUAAAAGGGGUCCAACCAUAUGUCCCAAUUCUGACAAAAGCAUUGAACGUCAUCAAAAGAGGGGUCACAACACCCCCUGGAUACGCACUGCUCUCUCUCUCUUAUCGCACGCAAUACGGGAGGAGGGGGCGAAUUUAACCCGUCGUGAACCCCAGCAUCGACGCGCCGUUUGAGGACUUUGAGUGCGAGUUGGAAUCGGUACAAUUGCGAUUUAUUUAUUACAUUUAUUGAAUUUGAAUGUGUUAGUUGUAAACAUAUUUACUCAUCAAAUUAGCUAAAUGGCUAUUGUAUCGACUAGUUAAACAAUCUAAACCAUUAAAAGCUUUGUACUUGAUUUGGUACACCGGAAGUGCUAUGAUUCAGUACCCAGGUAACUGUACACACGUUUGCCAGGUGAUCAAUUGAUUGUUUGAACCUCGGUUUGAAAUAUAUCAUCAUCAGUGAGCAUCUGCCAGCACAAUAGAAGAUCAAACAUUAACGGAGGUGAAAAAGUUCGAUUUCAUCGGAAAUAAAAAUAAAAUUCAGUACACUAUACUACACUUCACCAAACAAACAAGGUCACUCAUCAACUGCAUAUAUUAACUGCAUUUUCAGAGUACUCAGUCUGGGUAAAAUCGACCUUUCAUCAGUUUAGUACAAGCGUUGCAAUGAAUGACGGAACGAUCCGGAAAAGAAUAUUUUGUCUCGGCUUUUAGUUAAAACUAUAAAUUACUACGACGUCCUUGAAGGCAUAAAACUUUGCUCAGUGCUCGAAAGUUUUAUGUCCGAUAACACAAUCACAAAGGACGCCGGUUUUCGGGACAAACAAUGUGCUGAACUUGUAUUCGGCGUUUCCUACUUAGUUUUUGCAAAUAAAUAGAUUUAAAUAGCGGUUAACUUGUCGCGAUAUAUAUCCUUUUUGCGCUAAAAUCAAAAUCUGCGAGUUAAUUAUAAAUGACCGGGGCCGAAUGUCCACGAAACGGACGUGUUAUCUUUGGUCAUUUUUCUACAUUCUUAUUUGAUUCUAUAUAUAUAGAAAUUGUACCCUGACAGCUGAUGAAGAGUGAUUACGACACGUCUUAAAUUGAAUUCGUAUUCCCGUAUCAAUUUUUCAUGUUUUUUUAUUGUUUUCCCCGUACCAUUUUGAAUUGUGUUUUGUAUGUUUAAGCAUCAAUAUCUUAAAACUUUUAUCCUUGUUCAACAAUUUAACAAACUGCUUACAAAGGAAAAAUAUUUAGGAUUGGAAAUAGUUUAAACCAUCAUGCAUGCAUGACCCAUAUAGUGUCUGAUUUACAUUGAUCUAAAUACACCAAUUUUUCGUGUGUUAAUCGUCCUUGAGAAAUUAAGUUAAUAGAUUUUCAAUGCUAAUGUUUUUCACAAAAUAUUCUAAAACCGAUUAAGCUGACGAUCCUAUGGAAUAUGCUUAGCAUGUAAGAUGGAUUGAAAAAUAAUGUAUCUAUGCAAUUCACACAGGAACCAUCGUGAAAUGAGAAGUAUUUAUCUGUAUAAAUAGUUUCGGUAAUGACAUUGCAAUGUUAUUAGAAUAUUAGAAUAGCAGAAUUACACAAAAAGUGAAUAUAGUAAAAAAUUACAUCAUUGUUGUAGAAAAGCAUGACUGUACUUAGAAAGACUGUGCGCGCUGUGGGGGUAUGAUUGCACACUAAGAGCCCUUCUGCACUGUGACAACCCGUCUGUACCUUGUUACUUCAAUUUGUUCUCGAGAUCAUAAAACAAAAAUCAUCGGAAAACAAGGCUUUCUUAAGCUGUAAAAAGUUAAUAUCCAGUUGAAAUUGGUAAUCGAAAUCGAGAUAUCUUUUAUAGAAUCAAUCAUGGUCAAAUGGUAUAUUAGUCCUAAUAACUGUUUCCACGGUCAUUUGAGUGCUUAUUGCUGUAUAUAUACAAUUCAGGUUUUCUUUUAAUUUAUUUUCACGCCAAUAGUAAAUUAACAGAAACUAAUAAAUAUAUGGCAUUUUGUAUUGAAGGCUAGUCACAUCCAUUUCAUUCUUGACGCGCCGGGAGUAUGACAUAAAAUUUUGUUCACAUUGUGCCAGUUAGUUAUGGACGAAGUUGGAAAAGAGAAGCGAACAACAGCAUACAAAACACAACAUAGAAAACUAUAAAGACUUAGUACCACGAACCUAUAACUAAAAACCGGAGGUGAUUUCAGGUUCUCCGAAAGGUCUAGCCUGUUCUACAUGUGGCACCUUUUGGAGGUGUUAAAAAAGGUCGGAAAGGAAGAAAUCAUAUCUGAAAUGGCCCAAGAAACGCAUGUGCUAUAAACUUCAGUUAAUCACUAUUGAAUUAAGCAACUAUGUUUCACCGUACGGCAUUUUACAAUGAGCGACACCCAUAUCAUGCCAUAUAGUCAGUUACAAAAAGUCCCGAUAUAGCAAAUUGUAAAAAAAUAAACAGGAUAAAACGGCCUUAUUUAUGAUAAAGCAUCAAUCGAUGUGUGAGUGUGUUUAAAAUCCCCUUUAAUGUAGCUGGGGUGUCUUAAUGUUCGAAGAUAGUUUUAUUUUUUUGUUCAACUUCUUUCUAUUAAAGGCAUAAGGAUACAAACAUUUCUCGAUAGGAACCGUUCACUUGAUCUGAUCUCGACUACAGAAAAAAAGAGAACUAAAGCACUAUUAUUAUUAGUUAUAGUAUUAACGGGUUUCUAUUAAUAGUCAAUUGUCUUGAACCAAUUUUGCUUCUUCUUUGCAUCUCCUCAAUUCAGGAAACAAAUCAUAUACAGACUGUCAGUGUUACAGUUUCAGCAUUUAAUAUUGUCCUCAUUUAAAUUCCAAUACUAGUUUCAGAAAUUAUGUGUUAUAAUUUAAUUUAAAUAUAUCGUAUAAGGUAAAAUCAUAUUAUGUAAUCCUCUACGACUAUCCAACAGUAUACCGGAUAUUAACGACAUAAGACAUCUAUUGAUUGAAGUAACUAGAGACUGGAUAAAAUAUAAAUUUUAGUAAACCUAUAUAAACAUGUACUUUUAUUUUAUCAUGUAUGUUAUAAAUAUGUUACAAGUUAUUUCAAGGGAUAGGAUGCAUAAAUUAAUGAAUGAAUUAAAUUAAGUUAUUCGGGUUAAUAACAAUCAUAACCAAAUAUGGUAUACUCAUCUACCAAAAUAUAAACCGCAGAAUUUGAAAAUUUUGCAGUUUAGUGGGACAAAUGAAAUUCUUUUGUAUCGUUUAAAUGAACCAUUGACAAUAUGAAUGCAGAAUUAAUUCAAUAUAGAGCACACAUGCGGAUCCAGGAUUUUUAAAAAGUGCGCCCUAGUCAGCCAAUGUUUAGACUGAUUCUUGUAAAAAGUAUAUGUAUUUAUUAUAUAUGUAGCUCUAUAAGGGGAGACCGGGCCCCUGGUCUCCCCCUCCUUAUUCGGCAUAUGUAGCAGAGUUCCAAUAAAUUUCAUCCUUAAUCUACCAUGUACCUUACCUUAAAAAAAAUGAAAACAACACGCUUAAUAAUUUCAUGCGUCCGAAGCGCUUUUCUGGAUUUACCUUCAUCAGGAACGCUCAAAGCCAAACAUUUGAAAUCCGAGGACGUAUAUAAACCGUUGAAGAGCUUUAAAAUAAAAAUACCUAAAAUAACCAAAUUCAUGUAAAGUCAACUUUGCCAGAGGGCUUUACUUAUACAUAGUUUACGAUAUGUUUACAUUUUUUUUAAUAUUUCAGCUUUGAAAGAUAUGCAAACCCAUGAAAACGACAAACAAAGUAUUUAUUAGAAUCAAUUAAAAGAUUGCUGCACCGAUAGGAAUUUCCAUGAAUGAGUAAUACGAUAACCCCCGAGUUAUCAAAAUUUACAUACACUCAUGUUUAAAUUCACCGUUUCAUCUUUAAGUUCAAGAUCAUAUAAAUAUAUUUUCAUGAAAAAGAUCGACCUCACUGCACACAUAUUUAUGAUAAUAAUAUUGAAACCACACUGCAUAUUUUCAUAUAAUCUAAAAAAAAUAUUGAAUCUAUAAUACCAAUCUGAAAUUAGUAUUUAAUCAUUAUGUAAUUAAAUCAGCUUCGAUGUUAAAACCGAUACAAAUCUAAAUAUUUCCACCUUGGAGCACAAUUUGAACCCUUUCUACAAAACGAGUCCAGCAUUAGCUCAGUCAUUAAAUGUGGUGUACAGACCUUUUUUUAAGAUGGAAAAUCUGUCUGGUCACUCACAGUCAGGUCACCUGAUUCUUGUCACUGUGUUGUUAAUGAUAACAUAUACAUGUAUGUGCUAGUUUUAUUGUAUGUCGUAACGACUUCAAGGAAAGUUAUUUUUCAUUUAUCUUAUUAUUUAUUAAUCAGUUAACUUUUGUAAGAUUAUUUUAGAGUCUUUAGUUUCGCAAUAGUUUGAACGACAGACCAUCAUAUGGUAAUAAUUUUGACAUGACUGAUUUUUUUUAUGUAUCCCACAUCCUUAUCGAACACACUGCCAUUAUGCCAUCAAAUCAAAAUAUGAUUUCCUGCUAAAAGAUAGAAGAGUUCUAAUACACCAUUUGGUUCCCUCAAGCAUAGUCGGUUUACUUGAUUAAUGUCAAGCGCAAACAAGUUUUUCAGCUUUGUUGAAACGAAAAAUAAUCUUUGAUAUAUCGUAUCAUCUGAAAAACAAUUCGCUGUUGGUUAGUAAUCUCAAAACCGCAGAGUCAUUCAGUGCGAGCUGACCGAGUUUUUACCAAUCAAAUCGUUCCUUUAGCUGCAGGUAAAAUCACAUGUUUGUUUUUCGUGAUAAGUAUAUUUAUAUACUCCAGGUACUUGCACUUUAAUUAUUGAACAAGUGAUGCAUGUUGUAAGAAAUUUAAUGCAGUUCAAUCUAUUUUUUUAUAAGUGUUCCGUCGUUUCACACGUGUUCUACCAAAAAAGUGACCCCAACCAACAAUUUCACAAAAUUCAUUUGAAAAUAUAAAAGUUUUAUGAUCAUUUAGUUAUUAUCAGACAAGGUCAGUAACUCAACUAUUUAUCUUAAGGGGUGGGUGAACGUAUCAUGGUGUGAUGCCCUACGAUAAAUUGAUUGUACAAAGAAAACUUAAAGAAUUUUCGAAAUUUUGGUUCUACGUUCCAGGCCUGAAACUGAAAUUUCUCUGAACUAAGCCUGUGAACUUAGUUUUAAAUCAACGCCGAACUUUCAUCAUCUUAGGACAAACACGAGAUUUCACAUGACCAUGACAGCGUAUAUUAAUUUAAAAUUAAUUGCGUACCUUCUUUUUUCUGUUUUUGUUUUGUAACAUGUAUUACGUAUUAUAAAACUUCCUUAAUUACAAACAAAAACAAGAAGUAUGACACACUUUCUUAAUGUUUACAUUUUUAACAUCCGAAAUGUGUUCCGAGUCGAUGACCGUUUCAUAUAAUACUCAUUUUCAUUUAGACUAACUUGCGAUGGUACGUACGUUGUCGUAGAAUUCAUUGUAUCAGACAAUCACUUGAAAAUACUUCAUGAGUCAACUGUACCAGGGACGGAUCCAGCCAUUUAAAAAAAAGGGGGGGGGGUCCUUACCCAGGAGAAAGGGGGAGUUCCAACUACAUGUCCCCAUUCAAAUGCAUUGAUCGUCCAAAAAAAGGGGGUUCCAAUCCCCGGAACUCACACCCCCUCCUUCCCCCUGGAUCCGCGCCUGUGAAUCCCUAGAAAUUAAACAAUUAUAGUAUUUUUAAAAUACGAACAACAGUUUUACUUUGAAUUAGUACUGUAGCACUAACAAGUAACUGUAAUGUUGUUUACACGACUGCUUUAGGUCAAAUAAAGUGUUUUUUUCAUAUAUUAAUACACUGUGUCUGGUUAGAGUAAUAUCAAGUAGAUAUUUUCAUACUUAUAUUUAUAUUUAUAUACUCUUUGCGGGAUCUUUUCAUGCAAGAAUUACGCUCAAUAAAUAUUUGGUUGGGAUGUAUAUAGUUAUUUGUCCGUCAGUAAAGGUGUUUAAGUGAUAUGAUGUCGUUAAACGUUAUAAUCAUAAAUCCUUUUUGAAAACGACUUUUAACUAAGUACAUGUAAUAGAUAGUAAUUACUGAGCUACGAAUAAGUUCCUUUAAACUUUAUAGGAAGCACUAAGUCACUUAUGGUGUGUAUGAGUGGGACAAAUCAAUGAAUAGCAAAACACAUAUAUAUACGUUUGAAAAACAACUUUUAGUUGGCUCAUAAAUUUCCCACACAGAUCUAAACGCUAAUGUUGCGUUAAUAAAAUCUGCACUCUGAUUGUGGUCGUCCGAUAAAGAGACUGUGACAAAGAGUUAAAUUAAUAUCUCGGCAUUUUAUAGUAUCGAAGUUUAUUUUGAGCGUGUUGUCACAAACAGGUACCCUGAUCAUUUAAAAACCACAAAGUUUAAACUGAAGUAGGUGGACGUUUACCUUUAUUUCGUUGUUCUUUAUCCUCGGUCAGGGGUAAAUACUAACAAGAUCAAAGAGAAUUUUAUUUCGGUUAUCAAUAUGUUAUCUUAAUGCACGAAACAUAUUGUUGUCAACUUUAUAGUAGCCGUCCGGAAACGUAAAAACAAUGAAUGCACAGGAAGACUGCUAGUCAUGGAACAGGGAAGUUCUCCAACAUUACUGGAAGAUUAUACACACAAUAGGGAUUAUAUAUAAACUUCCUCUCUGUACUUGAGGUCCACAUUUACUGUAUCUAAAUAAAGCGGAAGUAUACUUGUAUUGUGGGACCUGUAUCAGUGUAUAUAUCCUGUUUGUCGUUUGUAUGCUUCAUGAGGUUUACAGACAAGUGUACGCCAUUAUAUUUAGUUAGUAUAUGUCGCUUCAAUAUUUAAAUCAGUCCAGUGCACUAUCAGGUGGUUGACACUGAUUGUUUCAUCGCAAUAUGGCAUACUACAUCUCCUUAUUAAUCUUAUGUCAUGUCAUAUGACUUGAAGGACAUGUGGUGUAUAAGUCAGCGACACAGUAACCCAACGACAAAACUAACUGACAAGCUCAAAUUCUACCGAACCGGUUUUUAAAAUUAUACAAACUAUCAAACAUUUGCCAUCGACACAAAAAUCCCAAAUAUUAAAAAAAAAUUAUGAAAAAAUAAAAAAAUACAGAAAAUGCCACAAACAAUAAAAAAAACCCCGCCAAGAUGAUACAUUAUACAACCACUAGGAAUUAAGAAUCCUACAUGUCUUGGGACUUUCUGUAUGUCGUGGCUUCAUUUAUUUCUGUACUUUAAGACAUGGUCCCAUGUCGUUAUGUUUUGGGACUUUCUGUAUGUCGUGGCUUCAUUUAUUUCUGUACUUUAAGACAUGGUCCCAUGUCGUUAUUUUUUGGGACUUUCUGUAUGUCGUGGCUUCAUUUAUUUCUGUACUUUUAAGACAUGGUCCCAUGUCGUUAUGUUUUGGUCGUCUUCUAAGCUUGUAUGUUAUGGUAUUUGUUCAUUAUCAUUACAGGGGUAUAUGGUGAGCUCAAGAUGUAUGCCAUGGACUCACGGCAGAAAUAUGCCCAUCUGCUAGUGUUACUAGUUAAUGAUUUCUUCUCUUUAGUACACACGUACUCGUGGUUCCGGUUCGUUAUCUAUCUUUGUAAAAAAAUAUAUUUUUGUUUAGUGGUUUACCGAGUGAACAUGUACUUUUAAAUACAUCAAGACGUACGAUUAAAUAUGAGCACUGCAAGGGAGGCGGCACCGCCCUCAGGGGCGGAUCCAGCCAUUUUAAAAAGGAAGUUCCUAACCCAGAACAAAAGGGGGAAGGGGUUUCAACUUCAUGUCCCCAUUCAAAUGUAUUGAUCGUCCAAAAGGGGGAGUUCCAAUCCCCGGAACACCCUCCCCCUUAGAUCCGCGCCUGGCCCUCAAUAUUUAAUGGUCAGACAACUGAUAAACUAGAAUAUAACAGCUGAGUUGAAGUGUUAAAAGUAAAAUAUCAUUGAUUGAUUGAUUGUUGGUUGCUUAACGUCCAGUGGCAAAUAUUUCAUGCAUAUUCAGGACGAGAACAAGUUAAACAAUAAAUACAAUAGGUAGGUUGUUGUAAUAAAGGCCAUCUAGGAUGAUGGUCGGGUAAAUUUGGACUGCCACUGUAAAAUGAGGGUAUACUGGAUAGGGACAGAAAUUUUGCCUUGCAACAGGCCACCUACGGACCCCUCAAAGAGUUGUUGCAAGGGUUCUUAACGUGCAAAGAGCGUGGCACUCUCUUUACACGAGGCAUCGGAUUUAACGUCCCCCUUCUGACCGGACGUGACUGCGAACUUGAUACAUCCCGCACAGCCAAGCGGACGCCCCACUUCGGCAAGCGUUUUACUGCCGGUCGGGAGAAGACCAAGUGACCAUAUUUCUAUACCCCAGUCACCCUUGGGGGAGUAAAAUAUCAUUUACAGUGUCUGACUAAUAUACUUUACUUAUCUCGUAUCAAUAGAAUGUAUUCAACAGAAGUGUUUUUAUGGCAAACAAACUGUUAAUUACAUUUUACCGUUUUACCUUAUCUUUUGUCUGAUUUUACAGAUAUAGAAAAAUAAUAAUAGUACCCGAAAACCUCGAGUCGACCGUAUUUUUCUUUGUUGAAAUGUAUUUAUACCAUUUAUACCACAAAAGAAAUUAGACAUGAUCUGACAAAGAGAAGUCAGAAAGUGCUAAUCGAUAUUAUGUGCGUUAAUGUAAAUGUAUCUGUUGAAUCACGUAUGUAUUGCAAGUAAACAUUUUACCUGUACAGGUAAAUUACGAAAUACACAUUUUUUACUAUGAAUCAGCUGACUGUGACGUUCAUUGAUAAAACUGUAAUCGAAACUGCUGAGUCAAUAACCCUGGCGUAGUGUUGUUCUUCAUUCAUGAUAAAUCAAUUUUUAGGACAAGGAAUUUUUAAUGUCAUAAAAUAGACCUGUCAUGAAUUUCCAAGACAGUAACGUAAUCGCUGCAUAACAUCUAAAUAUAGAUUGUGUACAUCGUGGAAUGGGGUCCAAUUUCUGUAUUCUUAAAAUAAUUAUUCGUCAAUCAUUCACUUCUGGAAUGUUGAUUUUUAUAUGUCGUAUUAGUUUAGUAAUGAUCGCUAUGGUCUGUACUGCAAUUUCUAGCCCCUUUUAAUAACAACUUUUUCCAUGCUUUAAUUAUAAGUAAAUAGAAUAUUCAUAGAAAAGCAAAUUUGAAGAUAACUAUUCAUCAGUGAUAAGAAGAAGCAUACACCAAUGACAACUUAAAGCAUACUUUAGUGAAAACAAAUUUGCCAUAGUAGAAUUUGUUCAUCUCCACAGACAGCAAAUAAAAAGUAUCAAGCAGUAUGCCCCACUGACAACACAGUCAAAAGAGAAGUAUACAUCAUUGACAACAAAGUCAAAGUAGAAGUAUUCUUUAUUCAUUGACAACAAAAGUCAAGCAGCAGUAUUCUUCGUUCAUUGACAACAAAAGCCGAGCAGAACAUUCCGUUAGUUCAUUGACAGACAACAGAAACCAAGAAGCAGCAUUCCGUUCGUUCAUUGACAGACAACAGAAACCAAGCAGCAGCAUUCCGUUCGUUCAUUGACAGACAACAGAAACCAAUCAGCAGUAUCAUGACUUUAUUCAAUGACAACAAAAGUCAUGCAGUAGCAUACUUCGUUCAAGUAGCAGUGAACUUUAAUGACAACAAGGACCAAACAGAAGUAUAAUACACAGCAUCGACGGGAAACGGUUUUGACCAAAAUCUUAUCUUGCUGAUAACUUUUGCUGUACCGAAUCUCUGUCUGUCUAUUAUAGUUUCACAAUAAUAAGCAAAUACAUGUAUCAAAAACUGAACCGAUUACUCAAAUGUUACUCAAAUCGACUUAUUGCCCCGGUAAACUGUGUACAAAAAAUGUUUUCUGUUUCUAUUACUACUAUUAUGCAGGUUAUUAUUUAAUUUCAGUAUUAGGUUCUUAUUUGUAGAUCUUAGUUGCUGAUCAAAUUUGCUAUUUGCAGUCAUCUUUAUUAAAGGGGCACUAGCUGUCAAAUUCUUGUUCACCGAUUUUAAUCAAAUUCUCAUAUUUGAGUUAUGACAAUGUAAAACAUUUAUCCUAACUAAAGUCUAAAAUAAACCAAUAACAAGCCACGGGCAUAACAAUACGUAGCUUCGUUUCGUGUGCAUUUUAGUCUAAAGGCCAUCUUAUUAACUAUCGAGUUGACUUCUAAAGUCAUCCGAUGACCAUAUAAACGUUGUAAACAUAAAUAUAGAUAUAAAUAGAUUUAGUAAACUCGUGUUGUUAGAUUUUUCUAGGUCUAGUUAAUUUCAUAUUAUAGAUGAAAAAUAAAUGUUUGUCAUCGUUAGUAGGAAAUCAAUUGAUUUUCCUUUGUUUCACUUUCAAUGUUGACAUUCUUUUCCUUUAGUCAACUUUACUCAUAGAAUUCACGUGUUAUCAAUCGUAAGCUAAGGGGUUAAAUUGAAGUUCACAUGAAUACGGAUUCAAUGAGGUCAAAUUAUUCACUUGCAAGUGAAUAAUGCAUAAUCAAUAUUUUUUUAGCUUAUUUUAAUUAAAUUAAACCAUAUACUGGCUGCUAAAAGCGAAUUAUUAUUUCACUAUUUCUAUUUCGUUAAUUACUGAGAGAAAAAAAAUAAUGUAUUAGAUUUUUCAUAUAUCGCGUUGCUAGUGCCCGUAGUAAUGUCUUCAAGAAAAUAUAAUUCUUGAAUUGAAUUCAAAACAGCGAUAGCAUGUUCACAAACUAGACGACGGACGAAGACGCAUAACCAAUAAACGGCACAAAUAUGAACUGUCAGAAUCUAUAACAACGCUAUUUAUCUACGCAUAUAAAAUAUCCAAAACUUUUGUUAUGAAAAGCCAAAAUCAUCUAUAAACGUAAUGGAGGUAAAUCGAUCCACAUGCAAGAAUGUACAAGGGGAGAUAAUUACGUCAAAACUCUUAAUGUAUUCUUUAUUAAUUCUCAUUUAAAAUCUUCAAUGUACUAAUAAAAGAAUCAUAUCAGUAACCAUAUUCAAUAAACAUGAACGUAUAUUUAUGUCCAAAACAUGUUGAUCGGGUUUCAGGAUUAUAGUAUCGUGUGAGACUUUCAAUGAAUCUAAAGAAUCCGUGGGCGUAAUUUUUAUGAAUGAAACUGUUCUGCGUGAGUAGGUUCCCUGUAAACAAGGUCAUACAAAUAAAUUAUUCUACACGACGUGUGCAUAUAUAACAGAUCUAAAGGACUUAUGUCAUACAGAGAAAAUCGAAAAUUAAAAACACAAAAACAUAUCAAGGGGUGCACGUAGGCGUCCAUGGGCUGAUCAGUACAAUUAAGUGACAUUCUUUGGCUACUAGUGUCCUAAUGAACUUGUGGUAUACAACAGAUUAACCGUAUUAUUGCCUUAAUCCUCCUACAUUAUUUACUUGUACAAAUACAUUCCGAACAAACAGCAUUUCAAGGUUAUAUAUUAUUUCAAAUAACGGCAAAACGCCCCUAAACAUAACUUGUUUUAAUUUAUAUCAUCCUUAAUUAAAGUUAUAAAAGUGAAAUUUUUAUUUUUUUGCUUCAAAUGACUUCAUUGAAAGUUACUAGUAUUACCUCUAAAAUCAUAUCAAUUUAUAUGUACCCCCCCCCCCCCUUUUUGACCCUGAAUGUGAUCAAGCAAUCUACAAAUUAAAAGAAGAAUUAAAUUACGCUCAGAUUCAACGUUCGAUCUCUGCUUUUUGCUACCUUUUAAUAAGCGGCUGCGUUAGCUUGCAUAAAUGCAGCGCUGUCGUUCAUUAAAAUAGAUACUCAUUAAACAAAACGUAAAACAUGAUAACAAAUGCAACAACAUCGGGUGUUUGCAUCUCAGUUGGAACAAAUGAACAAUAUAUACACUGGGCAAGUCCUACAAUCAAGACCGUAAGGGAAAGGUGUUUUAGCAUAUAUAUAAUGAAUCGGAAUGACAGAAUUUUUGUAUUGCGAGAGACCAUUCAUGCACGGACCCUUCAAAGAGUUAAUUGUUGCAUUGGUCCUAGAAAGUGUGCCACUCCAUAUACGAGGCAUCUGAUCAAACGCCCAAUUCUAACUUGACGUGGCUGCUUGCUUUACAUCUCACACAACCAAACGGGCAUCCCGCUCUGGUAAGUUUUUUUUUAAAUACUGGCUAAAAUAUAUGAUAGUGAAGCAACUACCGAUCUGCUUACUUUAAACAACAGUACAACCAGAGGGCAUACAUUUAAAAUCAACAAACAAAGACGCAAAUUAGAUGUGUGUAUAAACACUUCUUCACGAACAGAAUAGGAGCCACAUGGAACAGCUUGCCAGAACAUAUUGUAUUAGAUGUGUGUAUAAACACUUCUUCACCAACAGAAUAGUAUAAGUAGCCACAUUGAACAGCUUGCCAGAACAUAUUGUAUAAGAUGUGUGUAUAAACACUUCUUCACCAACAGAAUAGGAGCCACAUUGAACAGAUUGCCAGAACGUAUUGUAACAAACACUUAAGUGAAAACAUUUAAAAACAGGCUAGACACUUCAGGGUGGAAAGAUCAUUCUAUAAAAUUAGACUAUACAAUUGAGUAUGGACAACACAUAAAUAAAGUAACCGGAAAAGAAUACACUACGGUAGAAGAAACGAUAGAGAUGAACACAAAGGAGCAGCAGCACCUGCGUUCAUAACGAACGUAGAUAAACAUAGGUAGGUAGGUAAGUUGGAAUCAUACUGAUGGCGAGGUGUAUUCGAUUCAGAUUCUCGUUGACAAAGAUUGCUAGUUUGUCUGCCAAAGGUCGGUGGCUCUCAUCUGCAUGGUAACCCAGUUUCAUACAUUAAGCCUAGUCGUCGAAAGUACGUAACAUCAUCAUAUAUAAGUAAUUCUUUGUUUAUAACGUGUAUGUGUAAUUGUUGUUUGUCACUGCCCGGUUCUAUGGAACUUUAGUUAGAAUUAUAAAUUAUGUGUUGUACCCGAAUACCAAUCUAAUUAAAAACCGAUCUCUCAUCGCUCCCGUUUUCUGAUAUGUCGCGUGGGAGAUCUAACGAAACCGGCUUUGAGGUCACAUGUGAGUGAACUAAAAGUUAUGAAUUUAUAAUGAUAUGCAAAUGAAUUGACGACCUAUUAAUAAGCCAAUCAAAAAAAGUUUAUGAAUUAUUUUGACUGACGAUUUCGUCGUAAAAAAAAUGAGUUACAUCCCUUUACCUUACGUUAAACUUUCAAGAUCGUGGAAGACUCAAUUUCAUUGGUCGAAAAAGACACACCUACGAGGUCACUCACAUGUGACCUCAAAGAGAUUGCCCGAAUACAGAGUUUAAAACAAUUUUCAGUCAUAUUCUAGUAUGACUAAAAUCUAAGAAAAGUUUCAUUAAUAUUUAGAGUGAGGUUUCAAAAUGAAGUAAAAGUAUGGCAUCCAAAAGUAUAAUUAUUCCUCAUCUGGUGACUAUGUCCAGGGUGACAUAUGAUAACUAGUCGUCUGGUGGCUACGUCCAGGGUGACAUACGAUAACUAGUCGUCUGCUGGCUACGUCCAGGUUGACAUACGAUAACUAGUUUUAAUCUGAUUUAUACUAAAAGCACUGAAUGUUAACUAUGUACAACGAAUGCCAGAUUAACAGGGUUUUAUUUUUGCAAAAUGUUGAUCCAAUGUUAUAUUGUUGAGUUGCUAUCUCAUUGUGUUUUACCAAAUAACAUUAAAAUAUAUUGGUAUCACUUUGUUGGGUUUCUACCUCAUUGUGUUUUACAAAAUAACAUUAAAAUAUAAUUGUAUCACUUCACAUUCCAGUCGGAUCCUACCUAAAUAUGGACAGCGGCAGUACUCAUGUACCAAGUUAUUUAUUAGUGACCGCCAUAGUUAAAUUUACACCAAACCACUAGGAGUGAACACACUAUAAAGGUUUUUAGUCUAUUCUUUUGUUACUUAGUAUAAAAGAAAGCGAAAUUAAUGGAAUAUAAUAUUGGACAGAAAAUUGAAACAAACAAAUGUAUUUCCGUUUUUUUCGAGCAAAAAAUAACAUAGAACCACAAAUUUGUAACCACUUUUCAUUAACUACAUCCUUUUGCUAAGGAAAUAUGCAUUAUGGAGGCAAUAAAUAUAAUACUUAUACUGGUCAGUGGGAUAUGUGGUCCGUUUGACACUGGUUCAGGGAUUGUGCAUUAACAAGUACACUCAAGUUAAAAGGAUCUAUUCUAUAAUGGUUACUAUAAAGAUCGUACAAUAACGACCGCACUGCCAUCUGUAUUUUAAAAUUCUUUCGGAAAGUCAUCUUCAUUUUUUAAAUUAAUUCGAAAUGUAUGAAUGUAUAAAUGUAAACCUAAUGUAUAUCAUAUUCUUUUAUUUUUUUAAGGCUUGUGAAAUAAAAUUCAAAUCUACCUAGUUGGGGGAACUUUUGCUUAGUUAUAUUAGAAAUGCUGGAAACACUUAUAGAUGCAAGACUUUAUUUCCGUUAUAAAUGUCCAGGUUACCAGGUUAAAUUGUUUUUGUUUUGUUUAUCGUAGGAAGUGUUAUAUAAUAGUAGAUUCUCGUGAGUUCAAUAUCAGAGAUACAAAGGAAUGGAGAGGAAAUGAGAGAGAGAGUGGCUAUAAUUCAAUGUCUGAUGACCAAUACUACCGUUAUCUAUCAUAUUGGGAGGUCUUCGGACAAAGACACUUUGAUUACGGUGCAAUCAUAGGGUCAAUUGAAACAUAUCAACAUAUCUAGCAAAGCUAAAGGUCUAAACCUUAGAAAUAUUAAUAAGUUGGUGCAAUAAGAGUUUUGAAAAUUAAAAAAAUCAAAGCGCUGUAAGCGCUGAAGGCAGUUAACCAAAAACCAAGGCAACCGUAAUUAUGAAAACUGUGGCAAUGUUGCCUCAACAUUAAACAUUCAUAUAUAGUACAUUCAUGUUUAUCUAAUGAUUUAUUUAUUAAGGCAGAUAAUUUAUAUGUUAUCAAGGUUUCAAAAGCAAUGCAUAUAUAUCAAUGUAUAUUUUUUAUGGUGAGUCUGCAGUGGUACAAGUUCCCAAUGAUUGCAGUUGUUCUACUUGGUAGUUAACCUUGGUUUUAUUUGACUGCUAGAAGUUCAAUUUGACUUAGUAUGAACAUGUUAUAGUAUGAAUGGACUGGUUUCCCUGGAAAGAAAACUGAGUUUGUGUUCUAUAGUACAAAAGUUAUGAGACACGAAUCAGACAAAUGUUCACUACAACAGGGAUCAAAGAUGAGGUCUGACUGACUUGCCCAUAGUAAAUGUAAAUGAUUUGUUAUUUUGUCCAUACAUAUGAAUAUAUAUAAUUUAAGGGUGGGGAUCUCAAACGGUUUUCAAGUUCUCAAACAGGAUGGGGUAGGCAGAGGAUUUAGGGGGCAGGGGUCCCGCCCCCCCCCUUUUUGGAGAAAAAAUUUGGUUGCUUAUAUAGGGAAUCACUGAAGCGUGACUGGAGCGGGCCCCUCUUAAGGUCAGUCAGUGGGCCCCACUUAUGAAAAUUUCUGGAUCCGCCACUGGGGGUAGGGUCAUCCUAGGGACUUCCCCUACAUUUCAUUUUAUUUGUUAAUAUAUUGUCCCAUACAUGAAUAUAUAUGGUUUAGGGGUGGGGGUCUCAUUGGUUUCCAAUUUCUCAAACAGGAGGGGUAGGGUGACCCAAGGGACUCCCCCUAUAUUUCAUUUAAUUAGUUAUAUUGAUCCAUACAUGAAUAUAUAUUGUUUUGGUGUGGGGAUCUCGACCGUUUCCAAGUUCUCAAACAGGAGGUUGGGAUGACCACAGGGACUUCCCCUUAUAUUUCAUUUGAUUUGUUAUAUUGUCCCAUACAUGAGUAUAUAUGGUUUAGGGGUAAGGAUCUUGACCAUUUCCAAGUUCUCAAACAGGAGGGUGAACAGUGACCUCAGGGACUCCCCCUAUCUUUCAUCUGAUUUGUUAUAUUGUCCCAUACAUGAAUAUAUAUGGUUUAGGGAUGGGGAUCUCACGACCAUUUUUUAAAUUCUAAAACAGCAGGGGUGGGGUGACCCCUAGCGACUCUUCCUAUAUUUCAUUUGAUUUUUCAUAUUGUCACAAACAUGAAUAUAUAUAUGGUUAAGGGGUGUGGAUCUCGACCGUUUCCAAGUUCUCAAACAGGAAGGGGUGGGGUAACUCCAGGGACUCCCCCUAUAUUUCAUUUUUUAUUUAUUAUAUUGUCCUAUACUUGAAUAUAUGCAGGGGCAGAUUCAGACGGGGGAGGGUUGCGGGCUUGCACCCCCUUAAAUUUGCAAAGCAUGGGUUGUUCUCAGCUUAAUAAAAGAAAAUUCCGAUAAUUUAUCGCAAUUUUUUUUUAGCCUCGCUCUGCUCGGCGAAAAUUUAAGUUUGCGCCCCUCCUAACCUAAAAUCCUGGAUCUGCCCCUCAUAUGGUUUAGGGUGGGGAGCUCGACCGUUUCCAAGUUAUCAAACAGGAGGGGGUAGAGUGGCCCAAAGAAUGCCACCAAUAUAUCAUAUGAUUUACUUACAUUAAGGUAUAUAUAAUAUAGUUGCAUUAUUUGUGAAAAUAAAGAAUGAAACUUUCAGCUACUUUAAUUCACCCUUCAAAAUUGAGAAAAAACAAAUAACCCCUCGAAAUUGCAGUAACAUGUUUACACUUUAAAAGCAUCUCACAUGCAUUAUCAUCAUUUAUCAUUUAUAAAGAAAAUUUAGACUGUGAACAUGAACAUGUAUAUUGUUAGAUAUGAUGUUCCCAGCUGUCACGUUGUAUUGGAUUUUUAAAUUAAAAUUUGUCAAAAAGUAAUUUUUAGUUUCUGAAUAAAAUAUUUUUUCUGCUUUUUCUUUCUUUUGCAUAUAUCUUUUAGUUUACAAUACUAGUGUUUAUAUUCAUUUACCAUGCAUAGAUGUAUUUUUUCACCUGCUUGGAUUUAUUUUGUAAAUGAUCGUCAAACCCGGAAUUACCCUUAUCCGCUUCCGGAAUCGGAUCCGAUUUAGUAAAAUUUUGUCUUCACGGCCGCCAUUGUUCAUGUUGUUAUGUGUUUACAAUGUUGUUUUUGUCAAUCAGAUACGAUUUUACUCGAAUUUAUACAAUAUUUGUUGGCGAUUUUCUGUGUAAAGCUAGCGGUUGAACAAAAUGAACAUCGCCGUCAUGAAUAAUAAUGAUAAAAAUAAGUUUUUAGCUCGUUUAAUUGGAGACUUUGUGAACAUGGUGAAAAGGUUUGCAAAUAAUUUCUUAUUUUCUUUCAAAUGUAAGGCGACUACGUCGGGCGUAGCUAGAAACCAACUAUCUAGUCGAAAUUCCUUGCAAAAGUGGAAGGUCUCGGACCACCGCUAAUUUGUACACCUGCCUCCAAAUUGAAAAGCUACGAAAAUUUCUUUUUCUAAUUUGAAAUUGCCGCCAACAGCAUGAACAGUUGAAUUAUAUAAGACUACUGACGUAGUUGUACUACGUAUUGAUGACAAACAAUAUUCCUACGACUUUUGUCAUUUGGGAAAUCUAAACUGCUUGUCUUCAGAGAUUUUCGGCGAUUAAAUAUUUCAUACAAUUGUUCUUUGACAUCUUAGCUAAAAGCACAAGUCAUAAUGAACUACACAAGGAUUUUUAAUAAGCACUACUUUCUAUGUGUAAAUUUAAAACUUUUGGAUAAAUCGACAAUCAUUUAAGGUUUUUCUGGUCAUUUUUUUUGUAAUCCAGAAUAAAAGUAUUAAAAGUGUUCAAUUAGUUAUAUAUAACAUAGUAACAAGCUAGAUAAUAACAAUGGCAAGUAUUUCAGGAUUUAUUGGGUAGAACACAAAUCUAAAGUGCUCGCAUAAUGCAGCUUAACUGCAUAAAAAUGAUGGUGACAGUAUUGAAACAAAAUUUGAUCACAAACUUUGCGCGAGAGAUGUAGUUGUCAGUUUGUUUACAGAAUUAAAGCACUUGUAUCAUGAUUUCUGGUUUUACUUUGCUAUGAAAAAAGUAAAAGUGUAUAAACAGGACCACUUACAGCAAAAGAAACUUGGAGAAAUAACAUGACAAAAGCUUUGUUUUCUAACUUGCUUCCUUAAAAUGGUAAAAUCGUCAUAUCAUACAAAGAAGUUAUAAAUACCAUGAAAUGUUGUUCUAUACCAUUACCAAUUAACGUUGAUAGUGACAGCAAACUAAUGACUGACCAAGAUACCUUGUUCAAAGAUUCCUUUAACAAAGUUUGUGAUUAGAAAUUGAAUACAACUUUCUGCUCGUUUGGUUUAUAUAUUUAUGCUGCACACGAUUCGACCGAUAUUUCAAUGUUGCCUUUUUACGGCUAUUUCAUUGAUAGCCGUCACAUUGAUAGUCAUAACCACAUUUAUACUAGAAAAGCAUAGUUUUCUCAAAGUAUAGUGUCAUCAACCAUAAGAGAACAAAUACUUAGAAAUUGUUGAACUUUAAACGAUAUGGCUAUUAGGGGUUCAUGUUGUUCAGUCUUUAGUUUUCUCUGUCAUGUUUAUUGUGUUGUGUCUGUUUGUCUGUUUGUCUUUUUUAUUUUUUGGCAUGACGUUGUCAGUUUUUCCGGCUUUAUUGGAAGAAUUCUUAACUUGUUAGGAUUCUCCGGAACACGGACAGUGUAUCGCCUUUUUUGCCGUUGUCUAUGUUUUCAGUAUGAUAAUGUUUGGUUGAUCGAACUUAUACGAUGGAACGUAGGAUCGCUAUGUCUCCCUUAUGCAACAAGUCACAGGCUAUAUAAAAAUAGGGCAACAAAUAUUAAAAAAAAAUCUCUAGAUACUAUCUUUUGAUUGUAAAAAGCUUCUGUCCAAGUUUGGUAAAAAUCUAGGAUAGUUUAUGAAUCCAAUAAAUGUUUUAAAACUUUAACUGCAGCGUGUAUGUAAUGUUACCUGGAAGAAAAACUAAGUCCAUUUAUAUAUGGAAAAACAGGAAAUAUUUUUUUUCACAAAAUUUCCUUCUAGAUACUAGAUUUUGAUCAUAAACAAGCUUUGUCCACGUUUGGAUAGGUUAAGAAUGUUAUUAUUUUUUUUAAAAACUUUUACCACCUAACUGGCAGAAAACCAAGUUCGACGACGGAAUGUAGGAUCAAUAUGUCUCGCUCUUGCGACAAAAAUCGCAGGCUCGACAAAAAAUAUGUCAUCCUUAUAAAGCCAAAUGACACGAUGCGCACGGAUACUUAACUGAAUGUAUAAUUUUUACGGGACUAGGUAAUCAUUACUGAUAAUUGUUGUAUCAUAUUACGAUUUUGCGGUGUUGGUGUCCGUAAAUAUCCUGUUUUUACCAAUACAUUGUUUUAAUUUUAUCUUUCACGUUUUAAACUUUCUAAUAUUAUACAUACUUCACCAUCUUACAAGAGCCAUUUAUUUUUAGCACGUACGCAAUCGUGAAUCACUGUACUUGUUUCAAAUAGUACAGGAUGUACGCAGUUUUUUCGUGGAACUUUCUAAUACCUUCAAACAUUCAGGAUGUUAUUUGCAUACCAAAUGCAACCGUUAUUUCCCUCGUGUAUUUCAUUUCUUUGAUCACUUGAAGUUUCCUAUAGGUCGAGUAACACCCUUAAGGUCAACAAACUGUAAAUGAAGCUUUUGCAUACAAUUGGGCACGUAGAGCUACAAAAUUAAUGUUAAUAAAAAAAACAUUUAUCUGUUACACUUGCUUAAAUAGUGUUGAAUGCAAAUCGUUUAUAUCGUUCAACAAUUUAAAUUUGUAUAGAACGCACAUAUUCCCAAAAUUUAUUUUUCUUGUUAGAUCUUACUUUACUGAACAGUAUUACUGUUUACAGUUUAUAUCUAUCUAUAUCAAUAUUCAAGAUAAUAACAAAUAACUGCAAAAUUUCCUUUAAACUACCAAUUUAGUGGCAGCAACCUAACAAUGGUAUGUGCGAUUCGUCUGAAAAUUUCAGGGCUGAAAGAUCUUGACGAAUUGAACAAUUUUACCCUCUGUUGGAUUUGCAUUCGACCUCUAUGUUCUGUUUUAGCCAUGACGGCCAUGUUUGUAGAUGCAUCAAAAUUUACAAACAAGAUACCCUAAGAAACAUUUAUGCCUCGUUCACAGGGACAUUUAAUUCGAAUUGAAUUCGAAUCGAAUGCGAAUCGAAUUCGCUAAUCGCGUUCACGCACUCUUCUUUUUUUAAUUAGAAUUGAUUCGAAUUAACUAAUUCGAAUUAGUCAAUUCGCAUAAGAAAUACGUUUUUGUAAAUACGAAUUAAAAGUUAACGUCGUUUGGACAAUUCGAAUUAGAAUUAACGUUAGGACGUAAAACGUUUCGAAUGCGAAUUAAACUAAUUCGAAUUAGUUAAUGCGAAUCGAAUUCGAAUUACGUGUGAACUCAGCAUUAGUUAACGUUUGUAGGUAUUUGGCACAGUGGUUUCAGAGGAGAAGAUUUUGAAAUAGUUUACGACGACAGACGGCGACGGACGCAUAGUGAUAGUAAAAGCUCACAUGAGGCCCUUCGGGCCCCGGUGAGAUAAAAAGGUGAUGUUACAAUUUGAUUUUUACUUAUUUAAAUAAUUUACGUGAUUAAAACUGCGGUUCUGAACCCUAUUCUUUUAAUAAAAAAUCGUGUUGGGAAAUAAUAAUGUAUGUACAUUUUUGCUAUUAAAUAUUGAAAACUUGUUUUGAGGUCGCUUAUUGAGUUAGGUAAAUAAAAGUAUGUCGUAUUGAUUCUAUAAACGGAAAAAAUAUACUAGUAAACAAGAGGCAAAUAAAGUAUUUCCUAAAUAAAUAACACUCGACACACCACUUAAAAACACACUUAUAGAUUGCUUAAUUCUUUCCUGAAGAUGAAUUGUUAUUCAAAACCACGUGAUAAACAGACGUCAGAACUCAACAAGGAAGAAAGCGUUUCUUCCUUCGCAUAAUUCUGAGAAACGCAAUUUAUAGUUUCAAUAACGUAAACAGGAACAAACUGUUCUUAUUUUCUAAAAAUCAAAUGUAAAAUGAAACCACGUGACGACAAAGGUAUAUCUUGCUCUAGUGUCCGACAUAUCCAGCUCCAAGUCGGCAACGUCAAGAUGCAGUUUAUGUCUCAUAAAAACCAUAACUGAUGAUACUAUACUUAACAUAAAAAAUACAUUGAAAGAUUUAUAAAAGAAUUGCCAACAAACCAACUCUCACGGGUGUCAUUCGGUUUAACGAGAGAAAUGAUCGUGAAAGAAUAUCUAACGGCGGUCAAGUAUUGAGAGACGAUCGUGAAAGCUCUGGUAACGGAUCGUGAAAGACAUUUAAUGUAAAUUCUAGUUCAGAAUCUUUGAAAGAAUCGCUUAAUUUUCAAAACGCGCAACAAAUCCGAACAAAAAAUUUUGUGUGUCAAAAUGGUCUAACUUCCUCAACAUAACUGUGAAAUAAGAUCGAGAAAAUAUGCAGUACUUUAUGAAAAAAAACACAAAAAGCGCAAUGCAUGUCUAUGAAAUUAAUUACAAAUAACACGCUUUAUGUACCUAUAAUGGUCAUAUUUCAGUUGAUCAUGAUGUAUUUGAAAUUUAAUCUUUGGUGUAUCUGAUUGUACAGUAAAAUUAAAGUAUGUUCUUCCCUUAAAAGCAUUAAUUUGUAUAUGAAAACAUGAAUUUGUUGAAUUUCCAUCAAACUUGAUCGUGAAAGAUCAGGCAACGCAUUAUUUUGAUCGUGAAAGAUAAUGCGUGACCAGUCUUAAUACUAGUAAUCAGAAAUCAGUAUUUCUUUUACCAUUUGAUAAACCUGCAACUGGUUGAAGCCUGUAACUAUUUUGAUAAGGAUGAAAUUAAAACUAUUUUUUUUUCUAUUCAACCCUUUAUCUCGAAAGUUAAAAAAUAACAACUAAAAACGUGUCUAAAUAAGUGUGAACGAUUCAGCUCUGAGAAUCGGCCAAGUGCAAUUCAUGCAGACCGACACUUUUUAGCCAAUAAUAUGGAUAUUCAACGUUUAAACCAAAACGAUAUCCAUCAAACAAAAAAUUACAGCAAAACAGCAUGCAUCUUUCAUGAGUAAUUUGAGAUUGAACGAUAACCAACAUUUUGUGCAACAGUACUUUCUUAUGUUCUUUAUAUACAACGCAGAUGUGGAUUGAUUUAACCAUACACUACAGACUAUAGAAUACCAGAGCGCAAAUGCUGCAAUGUCUCGUCUGCUUUACUUAUGAUAUAAAAAAGAAGAUGUAGUAUGAUUGCCAAUGAGACAACUAUCCACAAAAGACCAAAAUGACACAGACAUUAACAACUAUAGGUCACCGUACGGCCUUAAACAAUAAGCAAAGCCCAUACCGCAUAGUCAGCUAUAAAAGGCCCCGAUAAGACAAUGUAAAACAAUUCAAACGAGAAAACUAACGGCCUUAUUUAUGUAAAAAAAUGAACGAAAAACAAAUAUGUAACACAUAAACAAACGACAACCACUGAAUUACAGGCUCCUGACUUGGGACAGGCACAUACAUAAAUAAUGUGGCGGGGUUAAACAUGUUAGUGGGAUCCCAACCCUCCCCUAACCUGGGACAGUGGUAUAACAGUACAACAUAAGAACGAAU
rnacentral:lncRNA from 1 species